rnacentral:rRNA from 1 species
UACGUAGGGGGCAAGCGUUGUCCGGAUUUAUUGGGCGUAAAGAGCGUGUAGGCGGCCAGGUAGGUCCGCUGUGAAAACUCGAGGCUCAACCUCGAGACGUCGGUUGAAACCGUUUGGCUAGAGUCCGGAAGAGGAGAGUGGAAUUCCCGGUGUAGCGGUGAAAUGCGCAGAUAUCGGGGAAGAACACCCGUGGCGAAGGCGGCUCUCUGGGACGGUACUGACGCUGAGACGCGAAAAGCGUGGGGGAGCGAACAGG